rnacentral:rRNA from 1 species
UACGAAGGGGGCUAGCGUUGUUCGGAAUCACUGGGCGUAAAGCGCACGCAGGCGGAUUGAUAAGUCGGGGGUGAAAUCCCGGGGCUCAACCUCGGAAUUGCCUUCGAUACUGUCUGGCUAGAGUCCGGAAGAGGAGAGUGGAAUUCCUGGUGUAGCGGUGAAAUGCGCAGAUAUCAGGAAGAACACCCGUGGCGAAGGCGGCUCUCUGGGACGGUACUGACGCUGAGACGCGAAAGCGUGGGGAGCGAACAGG